rnacentral:rRNA from 1 species
GCGAGGAUCCUUAGCUAGGAUAGAAUGCGCGUGACCGGCUCAGAGAUGCAGUUUUCGUUCGGGACACAAAGCAAGGUGCUGCAUGGCCGUCGUCAGCUCGUGCCGUGAGGUGUUGGGUUAAGUCCCGCAACGAGCGCAACCCCUAUGUUUAGUUGCCAGCAUGUAAUGAUGGGGACUCUAGACAGACUGCCUGCGCAAGCAGUGAGGAAGGCGGGGACGACGUCAGGUCAUCAUGGCCCUUACGCCUAGGGCGACACACGUGCUACAAUGGACGGUACAGCGGGUAGCUACUGGGCGACCAGAUGCCAAUCUCGAAAAGCCGUUCUCAGUUCGGAUCGGAGUCUGCAACUCGACUCCGUGAAGCUGGAAUCACUAGUAAUCGCGCAUCAGCCAUGGCGCGGUGAAUACGUUCCCGGGCCUUGUACACACCGCCCGUCAAGCCAUGGAAGUUUGGUAGACCUGAAGCUGGUGCUCGUCACAGAAGCCAGUAGGUAGAUAAUUUCUGACCCUC